GUGGGGAAUAUUGGACAAUGGACCAAAAGUCUGAUCCAGCAAUUCUGUGUGCACGAUGAAGGUCUUCGGAUUGUAAAGUGCUUUCAGGUGGGAAGAAGAAAGUGACGGUACCACCAGAAGAAGCGACGGCUAAAUACGUGCCAGCAGCCGCGGUAAUACGUAUGUCGCAAGCGUUAUCCGGAAUUAUUGGGCGUAAAGCGAGUCUAGGCGGCUUGUUAAGUCAGAUGUGAAAAUGCGGGGCUCAACUCCGUAUUGCGUUUGAAACUGGCAGGCUAGAGUACUGGAGAGGUGGGCGGAACUACAAGUGUAGAGGUGAAAUUCGUAGAUAUUUGUAGGAAUGCCGAUAGUGAAGACAGCUCACUGGACAGAUACUGACGAUAAAGCUCGAAAGCGUGGGGAGCGAACAGGAUUAGAAACCCUAGUAGUCC
rnacentral:rRNA from 1 species